rnacentral:rRNA from 1 species
CCUACGGGAGGCAGCAGUGAGGAAUAUUGGUCAAUGGGCGAGAGCCUGAACCAGCCAAGUCGCGUGAGGGAGUACUGCCCUAUGGGUUGUAAACCUCUUUUGUCGGGGAGCAAAAGCCGGACGUGUCCGGCUGUGAGAGUACCCGAAGAAAAAGCAUCGGCUAACUCCGUGCCAGCAGCCGCGGUAAUACGGGGGAUGCGAGCGUUAUCCGGAUUUAUUGGGUUUAAAGGGUGCGCAGGCGGGUUUUUAAGUCAGCGGUAAAAUCGUGGGGCUCAACCCCAUCCAGCCGUUGAAACUGGGGAUCUAGAGUGUGCGAGAGGUAUGCGGAAUGCGUGGUGUAGCGGUGAAAUGCAUAGAUAUCACGCAGAACCCCGAUUGCGAAGGCAGCAUACCGGUGCACAACUGACGCUCAGGCACGAAAGCGUGGGUAUCGAACAGGAUUAGAUACCCCUGUAGUC